AUUGAACGCUGGCGGCAGGCCUAACACAUGCAAGUCGAGCGGAUGAACGGAGCUUGCUCUUGGCUUCAGUGGCGGACGGGCGAGUAAUUCACACGAAUCUGCCUGGUAGUGGGGGAUAACGUCCGUAAACGGGCGCUAAUACCGCAUACGUCCUGAUGUAGAAAGUGGGGGUUCUUCGGACCUAACGCUAUCAGAUGAGCCUAGGUCGGAUUAGCUAGUUGGUUGGGUAACGGCCUACCAAGGCGACGAUCCGUAGCUGGCCUGAGAGGAUGAUCAGUCACACUGGAACUGAGACACGGUCCAGACUCCUACGGGAGGCAGCAGUAGGGAAUAUUGCACAAUGGGCGAAAGCCUGAUGCAGCCACGCCGCGUGUGUGAUGAAGGUCUUCGGAUUGUAAAACACUGUAAGUAGGGAGGAAGAGAAGUAAGUUAAUACCUGGCUGUUUUGACGUUACCAACAGAGUAAGCACCGGCUAACUUCGUG
rnacentral:rRNA from 1 species